UACGUAGGGUCCGAGCGUUGUCCGGAAUUACUGGGCGUAAAGAGCUCGUAGGUGGUUUGUCGCGUUGUUCGUGAAAACUCACAGCUCAACUGUGGGCGUGCGGGCGAUACGGGCAGACUGGAGUACUGCAGGGGAGACUGGAAUUCCUGGUGUAGCGGUGGAAUGCGCAGAUAUCAGGAGGAACACCGGUGGGCGAAGGCGGGUCUCUGGGCAGUAACUGACGCUGGAGGAGCG
rnacentral:rRNA from 1 species